rnacentral:rRNA from 1 species
CAGUCGCCGCGGGAAUACAGAGGGUGCGAGCGUUAAUCGGAUUUACUGGGCGUAAAGCGUGCGUAGGCGGCUUCUUAAGUCGGAUGUGAAAUCCCUGAGCUUAACUUAGGAAUUGCAUUUGAUACUGGGAAGCUAGAGUAUGGGAGAGGAUGGUAGAAUUCCAGGUGUAGCGGUGAAAUGCGUAGAGAUCUGGAGGAAUACCGAUGGCGAAGGCAGCCAUCUGGCCUAAUACUGACGCUGAGGUACGAAAGCAUGGGGAGCAAACAGGAUUAGAGACCCGAGUAGUCCCUGUCUCUUAUAC